rnacentral:lncRNA from 1 species
AUAAAGUUUUUUUUUAUGUCUGAGUAUGUCAGAGUUUAUGAAGUCAACUUUAUUUUCUUUUUUUUUUCCACAGAAAAGGAAAGCGGAAAUUACCUUUAUUUGAAUACCUUCUGCUCACUAGCUUGUGGUCUCCAGGCUGACUUGCACUGGCCCCCUCUUGAAUACUUGGUGAUGUUGCCUGGCUGAGCUGCAGCAGGAACAACCCUGGAGGAAAAUGUUUUUAAAGUUCUUUUUAGGAGACAUAAAACUAAGACAAACAGCAGAGCAUUUUGGGCAUGCAAUGAAGAACAAAGUAUAAGCAUAUGGACUUUCUUUGAAAUUAACAAACAAGUCCCUUGUCAAAGCGGAGAUAUUUGGAGCUACAGUGCAUGAAAAAUGUAGUCAUUAUUUCAGAAGAGUUGUGUGUGUGAAUAAAAUAUAUUUGUCUACUGGAUUUUGGUUAUCU